rnacentral:rRNA from 1 species
GCAUGUCUAGUAUAAACAACUUUAUACUGGUGAAACUGCAGAUGGCUCAUUAAAUCAGAAAUAAUUUAUUUGAUGGUGAAAAACUACAUGGAUACCCGUAGUAAUUCUAGAGCUAAUACAUGCGUAAACACCUUUUGGUGGUAUUUAUUAGAUCCGAACCAGCCCCUUUUGGGACUUUUGGUGAAUCAUGAUAACUGUUCGAAUGCUCAGGCUCUGCCAGGGCAUAGUUCAUUCAAAUUUCUGCCCUAUCAGCUAUUGACGGUAGUGUAGUGGACUACCGUGGCUUUAACGGGUGACGGGGAAUUAGGGUUCGAUUCCGGAGAGGGAGCCUGAGAAACGGCUACCACAUCCAAGGAAGGCAGCAGGCGCGCAAAUUACCCAAUCCCGACACGGGGAGGUAGUGACAAGAAAUAUGGUGACUGUGCCCUUUGUGGCAGAGUCUUCCAAAUGAUAGUAACGUAAAUGCCUAUUAGAGUAUCCAUUGGAGGGCAAGUCUGGU